rnacentral:rRNA from 1 species
UCACCAAGGCAAAGAUNCGUAGCNAACCUGAGAGGGUGAUCGGCCACACNGGGNCUGAGACACGGCCCAGACUCCUACGGGAGGCAGCAGUAGGGAAUCUUCCGCAAUGGACGAAAGUCUGACGGAGCAACGCCGCGUGAGUGAUGAAGGUUUUCGGAUCGUAAAGCUCUGUUGUUAGGGAAGAACAAGUGCCGUUCAAAUAGGGCGGCACCUUGACGGUACCUAACCAGAAAGCCACGGCUAACUACGUGCCAGCAGCCGCGGUAAUACGUAGGUGGCAAGCGUUGUCCGGAAUUAUUGGGCGUAAAGGGCUCGCAGGCGGUUUCUUAAGUCUGAUGUGAAAGCCCCCGGCUCAACCGGGGAGGGUCAUUGGAAACUGGGGAACUUGAGUGCAGAAGAGGAGAGUGGAAUUCCACGUGUAGCGGUGAAAUGCGUAGAGAUGUGGAGGAACACCAGUGGCGAAGGCGACUCUCUGGUCUGUAACUGACGCUGAGGAGCGAAAGCGUGGGGAGCGAACAGGAUUAGAUACCCUGGUAGUCCACGCCGUAAACGAUGAGUGCUAAGUGUUAGGGGGUUUCCGCCCCUUAGUGCUGCAGCUAACGCAUUAAGCAACUCCGCCUGGGGAGUACGGUCGCAAGACUGAAACUCAAAGGAAUUGACGGGGGCCCGCACAAGCGGUGGAGCAUGUGGUUUAAUUCGAAGCAACGCGAAGAACCUUACCAGGUCUUGACAUCCUCUGACAAUCCUANAGAUAGGACGUCCCCUUCGGGGGCAGAGUGACAGGUGGUGCAUGGUUGUCGUCAGCUCGUGUCGUGAGAUGUUGGGUUAACUCCCGCAACGAGCGCAACCCUUGAUCUNGGUUGCCA